CGGCCGUUGGCGAGGACGUCGUCGGUCUCGGCGGCGAAGCCGACGAUCACCUGUCCGGGACGGGCGCGGUCGGC
rnacentral:tRNA from 1 species